AACGCACGAGACCUGCGGACCUGCGGAAGGAUCAUUACAGAGUUGCAAAACUCCAAACCCAUGUGAACAUACCUCGUGUUGCCUCGGCGGCGAGCGUAUAGUGCUCGGGACGUGCCUACCCGGUACCUACCCUUGAGCUACCCUGGAGCUGCCUACCCGGUAGCUGCCAGGGUACCUACCCUGGAGCUACCCGGUAGUAACCUACCCGGUAGCUACCCUGGAGGACUUGCGCAUCCGCCG
rnacentral:misc_RNA from 1 species